GACGAACGCUGGCGGCGUGCUUAACACAUGCAAGUCGAACGGGUCUGCCUUGUUUUUUGCGGGGUGGGUUAGUGGCGAACGGGUGAGUAACACGUGAGUAACCUGCCCCUCACUUCUGGAUAACCGCUUGAAAGGGUGGCUAAUACGGGGUGUUCUGGCUGUGCCGCAUGGUGUGGCUGGGAAAGAUUCACUUUUGUGGUGUUUUGGUGGGGGAUGGGCUCGCGGCCUAUCAGCUUGUUGGUGGGGUGAUGGCCUGCCAAGGCUUUGACGGGUAGCCGGCCUGAGAGGGUGGGCGGUCACACUGGGACUGAGAUACGGCCCAGACUCCUGCGGGAGGCAGCAGUGGGGGGUAUUGCACAAUGGGCGGAAGCCUGAUGCAGCGACGUCGCGUGAGGGAUGGAGGCCUUCGGGUUGUGAACCUCUUUCGCCGGUGAAGAAGGUCCUGUUCUUUGUGGUGGGG
rnacentral:rRNA from 1 species